rnacentral:rRNA from 1 species
AGAGUUUGAUCCUGGCUCAGGACGAACGCUUGCGGCGUGCCUAAGAAAUGCAAGUCGAACGGGCAUUCUCUUCGGAGGGUGCUAGUGGCGAACGGUCGCGUAACACGUAGGCAACCUGCCCCAAAGUGGGGGAUAACUCGCCGAAAGGCGAGCUAAUACCGCAUGUGGCCAGCGCAUCGCAUGAUGCGCUGUCUAAAGCUUUAUGCGCUUUGGGAUGGGCUUGCGGCCUAUCAGCUUGUUGGUGGGGUAAUGGCCUACCAAGGCGACGACGGGUAGCUGGUCUGAGAGGACGAUCAGCCGGAUUGGGACUGAGAUACGGCCCAGACUCCUACGGGGGGCAGCAAUUAGGAAUCUUGCGCAAUGGGCGAAAGCCUGACGCAGCGACGCCGCGUGCGGGAUGAAGGCCUUCGGGUCGUAAACCGCUUUUCUCAAGGAAGAAGAAUGUGACGGUACUUGAGGAAUAAGCCCCGGCUAACUACGUGCCAGCAGCCGCGGUAAUACGUAGGGGGCGAGCGUUGUCCGAAGUUACUGGGCGUAAAGCGCGCGUAGGCGGCUUUCUAAGUCUGAUGUGAAAGGUUCAGGGCUCAACCCGAACAGUGCAUUGGAUACUGGUAAGCUUGAGGACGGGAGAGGGAAGCGGAAUUCCAGGUGUAGCGGUGAAAUGCGUAGAUAUCUGGAGGAACACCGAUGGCGAAGGCAGCUUCCUGGCCUGUUUCUGACGCUGAGGUGCGAAAGCGUGGGGAGCGAACGGGAUUAGAUACCCCCGUAGUCC